rnacentral:rRNA from 1 species
AUCCAAGGAAGGCAGCAGGCGCGCAAAUUACCCACUCCCGGCACGGGGAGGUAGUGACGAAAAAUAACGAUGCGGGACUCUUUCGAGACCCCGUAAUCGGAAUGAGGACAGUCCAAACCCCUUAUCGAUUAGCAAUCGGAAGGCAAGUCUGGUGCCAGCCGCUGCGGUAACUCCAGCUCCGAUAGCGUAUAUUAAUGUUGCUGCGGUUAAAAAGCUCGUAGUUGGACAUCAGUCCGUCCCGGGCGGUCCGCCGCCAGGCGCCCUCGCCCGCCAGGACGACACAUUCCGGCCGGCUUCCCCGAUGAUCUUCGCCGGUCGUCGCCGCGGCGGCCGGCCACUUUACUUUGAAGAAACCAGAGUGCUCAGAGCAGGUCGCUAAACUUCGCCCGAAUGGUGGUGCAUGGAAUAAUGGAACAGGAGGUCGCCCCCGUCGUUUGUCGGCUGUGGGGGGCGCCCUAAUGAUCGAAAGGGACAGACGGGGGCAUUCGUACUGCGACGCUAGAGGUGAAAUUCUUGGACCGUCGCAAGACGAACCACAGCGCAAGCAUUUGCCAAGAAUGUUUCCGUUGAUCAAGAACGAAAGUCAGAGGCUCGAAGGCGAUCAGAUACCGCCCUAGUUCUGACCGUAAACGAUGCCAGCCAGCGAUCCGGCUGCGUUCCUCAAACGACGCGCCGGGCAGCUUCCGGGAAACCAAAGCUCUUGGGCUCCGGGGGAAGUAUGGUUGCAAAGCUCAAACUUGAAGGAAUUGGCGGAAGGGCACCACCAGCCUUGGGGCCUGCGGCUUAAUUUGACUCAACACGGGACAACUCACCCGGCCCGGACACGAGAAGGAUUGACAGAUUGAGAGCUCUUUCUUGAUUACGUGGGUGGUGGUGCAUGGCCGCUCUUAGUUGGUGGAGCGAUUUGUCUGCUUGAUUGCGAUAACGAACGAGAUUCUAGCCUUCUAAAUAGACGUCCCGGCUGACCUCCGCCGGGCGACCCCAAUUUCUUCUUAGAGGGACAGCCGGCUUCAAGCCGGACGAAACGGAGCAAUAGCAGGUCUGUAAUGCCCUUCGAUGUCCGGGGCCGCACGCGCGCCACAAUGAAGGAGCCAGCGCGCGCUCUCCCCCGCCCGAGAGGGCGGGGCAACCGUUCAGACUCCUUCGUGCUGGGGACAGGGGAUUGCAAUUGUUCCCCUCGAACGAGGAAAGCCCAGUAAGCGCGAGUCAUCAGCUCGCGUUGACUAAGUCCCUGCCCUUUGCCCACACCGCCCGUCGCUGUUUCCGAUUGAAUGAUCGGGUGAGGUCUUCGGACCGACCCACGGACCGGCCUCCGGGCCGGGCCGUCGUGCCGGAAAGACGAUCGAACUGGACCCUUUAGAGGAAGCAAAAG